rnacentral:rRNA from 1 species
UACGUAGGGUGCAAGCGUUGUCCGGAAUUAUUGGGCGUAAAGAGCUCGUAGGCGGUUUGUCGCGUCUGCUGUGAAAACCCGAGGCUCAACCUCGGGCCUGCAGUGGGUACGGGCAGACUAGAGUGUGGUAGGGGAGAUCGGAAUUCCUGGUGGAGCGGUGAAAUGCGCAGAUAUCAGGAGGAACACCCGUAGCGAAGGCAGCACUCUGGGCCGGAACUGACGCUGAGGAGCGAAAGCGUGGGGAGCGAACAGG